UGCCGGCCUCUGCGUCCCUGAGACCCUUUAACCUGUGAGGACGUCCAGGGUCACAGGUGAGGUUCUUGGGAGCCUGGCGUCCGGCC
ensembl:miRNA MIR125A microRNA 125a